AAUUGACGGGACCGCACAAGCGGUGGAUGAUGUGGUUUAAUUCGAUGUAACGCGAAAACCUUACCCACCUUUGACAUGUACGGAAGUUGCCAGAGAUGGCUUCGUGCUCGAAAGAGAGCCGUAACACAGGUGCUGCAUGGCUGUCGUCAGCUCGUGUCGUGAGAUGUUGGGUUAAGUCCCGCAACGAGCGCAACCCUUGUCAUUAGUUGCUACGAAAGGGCACUCUAAUGAGACUGCCGGUGACAAACCGGAGGAAGGUGGGGAUGACGUCAAGUCCUCAUGGCCCUUAUAGGUGGGGCUACACACGUCAUACAAUGGCUGGUACAAAGGGUUGCCAACCCGCGAGGGGGAGCCAAUCCCAUAAAGCCAGUCGUAGUCCGGAUCGCAGUCUGCAACUCGACUGCGUGAAGUCGGAAUCGCUAGUAAUCGUGGAUCAGCAUGUCACGGUGAAUACGUUCCCGGGUCUU
rnacentral:rRNA from 1 species